CAUCCCGCGNNUANGAUGAAGGCCUUUCGGUUGUAAAGUACUUUUGGCAGAGAAGAAAAGGUNUCCCCUAAUACGGGAUACUGCUGACGGUAUCUGCAGAAUAAGCACCGGCUAACUACGUGCCAGCAGCCGCGGUAAUACGUAGGGUGCAAGCGUUAAUCGGAAUUACUGGGCGUAAAGCGUGUGUAGGCGGUUCGGAAAGAAAGAUGUGAAAUCCCAGGGCUCAACCUUGGAACUGCAUUUUUAACUGCCGAGCUAGAGUAUGUCAGAGGGGGGUAGAAUUCCACGUGUAGCAGUGAAAUGCGUAGAUAUGUGGAGGAAUACCGAUGGCGAAGGCAGCCCCCUGGGAUAAUACUGACGCUCAGACACGAAAGCGUGGGGAGCAAACAGGAUUAGAUACCCUGGUAGUCCACGCCCUAAACGAUGUCAACUAGCUGUUGGGGCCGUUAGGCCUUAGUAGCGCAGCUAACGCGUGAAGUUGACCGCCUGGGGAGUACGGUCGCAAGAUUAAAACUCAAAGGAAUUGACGGGGACCCGCACAAGCGGUGGAUGAUGUGGAUUAAUUCGAUGCAACGCGAAAAACCUUACCUACCCUUGACAUGUCUGGAAAGCCGAAGAGAUUUGGCCGUGCUCGCAAGAGAACCGGAACACAGGUGCUGCAUGGCUGUCGUCAGCUCGUGUCGUGAGAUGUUGGGUUAAGUCCCGCAACGAGCGCAACCCUUGUCAUUAGUUGCUACGCAAGAGCACUCUAAUGAGACUGCCGGUGACAAACCGGAGGAAGGUGGGGAUGACGUCAAGUCCUCAUGGCCCUUAUGGGUAGGGCUUCACACGUCAUACAAUGGUCGGGACAGAGGGUCGCCAACCCGCGAGGGGGAGCCAAUCUCAGAAACCCGAUCGUAGUCCGGAUCGCAGUCUGCAACUCGACUGCGUGAAGUCGGAAUCGCUAGUAAUCGCGGAUCAGAAUGUCGCGGUGAAUACGUUCCCGGGUCUUGUACACACCGCCCGUCACACCAUGGGAGUGGGUUUCACCAGAAGUAGGUAGCCUAACCGCAAGGAGGGCGCUACCACGUGANNNNG
rnacentral:rRNA from 1 species